CGUGACACCUGAACUAAGGGGCGCGCGAUGAACACGUGCUGCUGCUCGCGGCAUUAUUUGGAAUUCGUUGAGGAAAAACACAAAAGCUACUCUGUGAAAUGUAAAUGUCCUCUAAAAUAACUUUAUGCCACUGCGCAAUUUAUCGGAGUAGGAGACUCAUCUCUGGUCUGAAAAAAAAACGUCGUUGCGCUUAUGGAGCUGUUUCCCUGGUAACGGAUGUACACAAAGCAGCGCGGCAUAAAUCUUGUAUUCUGGAAAACACUACAUGCCAUUUAUCUGCAACAAUGAUGUGCCUUUACAAUGGUAAGCAGUAGCUUGAGCUGCAGUUAUUAGUCAUUAAUUCAUACUUGAGCAAUCUACUUUUAUGCAUAGACUUGAACAGUAGUUCACUUUAAAACUUGUUUAACAAGAGAUCUGUCUAUUCAUUAAGGUAAAUCUCUAUAAAAAUACAUGAAUAUAGCAAAAAUGGUUGACUUGUUAAAAUUAAUUUCACCAAAAAACAUUUUUCUGAAAACAAUCUCUAAAUCAUGUUCUUUGUUUCUUUCUCUGAAUGACUCUUUUCAUCUACAUGCCACGAGUUGAGUCGUAUAUGGCAAAUACGGUGAGAAAUAUUAUGUGAAAACAUACAAAGCUGUAAAGUGCAGCAUGAAUCUUUUAUUUUGAAAAUCACUGCAUUUCUGAACAUGUUCUUCUUUUUAUUUCUUUGCAUGACUCUUUCCAACUACAUGCCAUGGUUUGAUCUGCCACAAUGAUGUGGUAAGAAAUCAUCUUACACUAACAAAAGGUCAGUCCAGUCUGAAUGUUUUGUACAUGAAUGCAUCAUAAAACUGUAUUAACUUGUUUUAAAGUCCAAAAUCGCUGUAUUUCUUAACAUGUUAUUCUGAUUUUUUUUCCAACUACAUGACCUGGUUUGAGUCGUCACAAUGGCAAACAUGGUAAGAAAUGUCAUGUGACAACAUCAAAGACCUACUUGUGUUAAAGUGCAGCAUGAAUAUUUUAUUCUGGAAAAAUCACUGUAUAUCUGAACAUGUUCUCUUUUUCUUUCUCUGAAUGACUCUUUUCAUCAUCUACAUGCCACGGUUUGAGUCGUCACAUUGGUAAAUACGGUAAGAAAUAUGUAUAAAAAAUAAAUAAAUACGAAACUGUAUUAACUUGUGUUAAAGUGCAGCAUGCAUCUUUUAUUGCAUUUCUGAACAUGUUCUUCUACCUUUUUCUUUGCAUGACUCUUUCCAACUACAUGCCAUGGUUUGAUCUGCCACAAUGAUGUGGUAAGAAAUCAUCUUACACCAGCUAAAAGGUCAGUCCAGUCUGAAUGUUUUGUACAUGAAUACAUCUUAAAACUAUAUUAACUUGUCAAAAUCACUGAAAAUUGUGAACAUUGUCAUGUCUGUUUCUUUCUUUUCAUUCCUCUUUCUAUAUACAUGCUACGGUUCGAGCCGUCACAAUGUUAAAUGUGGUAAGAAAGAUAAUGUGACAGCAAAAAAAAAGGCAAGUACAAUCUGAAUGUUUUGCAAAUGAAUACAUCAAAAAUACUGUAAUAACCUGUUAAAAUGCAAAAUCACUGCAUUUCUAAACAUGUUUUUCUAUUUUCCUUACUUUGCAUUAAUUCUUCUGUCCACACACCAUGACUUAAGCUGCAACAAUGGUAAAUAUGGUAAGAAAGAUCAUGUGAUGACAAUAAAAAGCAAGUUAAAUGUGAAUGUUUUGUAUAUGAAUACAUCAAAAACCUGUAUUAACUUGUGUUAAAGUGCAGCAUUUUUUUUUUUUUUUUCCUGGAAAAUCACUUUCUGAACAUUUUUUUUUUCUUUCUUUUUUUGCAUAACUGUUUCCAUCUACAUGCCAUGGUUCGAGUCAUCGCAAUGGUAAAUGUAGGAAGAAACAUCACGUCACAGAUAAGUCAAAUCUUUCACCAUUUACGUUUGAUUUAAAAAAUACAUUUAAUACUUUACCUUGCGCUAUCAACACGCAACUGAUACUAUUGUUUUGACCAGAGUAUCAACAUGGCAGCCGAUGAAGCCAGUUGAGGAAAUGUUCUCCAGUUCCGGCUCCAGAGGAGGAGUUCCACAAUGACCAGAGCCAGAACAGAGGGUUUGAGGGUUUAUCUUCAUCCAUGUGAUGGCCCAUUUAACCUCAUGCUCACCAGCGAGCAUCAGCGCAAAUGGGACCACCAAUUGCUUUCAUCUUUUUUGAUGUUUUCUUUUUCAAAAAUAUCCUUGGAAAGAAGGCUGAUGUGCAUUGUCAUAAUUACUAUUUUAUUUAUAUAAAUGGGCAAAAUCUUCCCCCUCCAUUUUUUUUUUACAUGUACACUCUUUGUAUUAUCUACUGUAUAAAUAAAUGCAUAUAUUUUACAUAUACAGGUCACUACUGUGUUUGCAGUCACUAAACCCAUGCUGAACAAAUAUCGAGAGAGAAUAAAAAAGACCUGAAAUAUUUUGAAAUAUAUCAAAUAUAACAAAGUUUUGGAACUCACUAUGGUUUACCCCCACAUAUGAUAUAUCUUUCUGUGCACAACUCCAUCUACAUGCCACAGUUUGAGCCGUAUUAAAGGAUUAGUUCACUUUAAAAUGAAAAUUACCCCAAGCUUU